UUUAGCAGCCAUAUCACCCUGCAACUCACAACUGGCAGCCCACUGAAGCUCAGCAGGUGUGAGCCUGGUCAGUACCUGGAUGGGAGACCUCCUGGGAAAAACUAAGGCUGCUGCUGGAG
rfam:Lepisosteus oculatus linkage group LG6, whole genome shotgun sequence.